rnacentral:rRNA from 1 species
GGGGUAACGGCCCACCAAGGCGUCGACGGGUAGCUGGUCUGAGAGGACGAUCAGCCACACUGGGACUGAGACACGGCCCAGACUCCUACGGGAGGCAGCAGUGGGGAAUCUUGCGCAAUGGGCGAAAGCCUGACGCAGCAACGCCGCGUGCGGGAUGAAGGCCUUCGGGUUGUAAACCGCUUUCAGUGGGGACGAACCAAGACGGUACCCACAGAAGAAGCCCCGGCCAACUACGUGCCAGCAGCCGCGGUAACACGUAGGGGGCAAGCGUUGUCCGGAUUUAUUGGGCGUAAAGAGCUCGUAGGUGGUUCGAUAAGUCGGGUGUGAAACCUCCAGGCUCAACCUGGGGACGCCACCCGAUACUGUCGUGACUAGAGUCCAGUAGGGGAGCGUGGAAUUCCUGGUGUAGCGGUGAAAUGCGCAGAUAUCAGGAGGAACACCAGCGGCGAAGGCGGCGCUCUGGGCUGGCACUGACACUGAGGAGCGAAAGCGUGGGGAGCGAACAGGAUUAGAUACCCUGGUAGUCCACGCCGUAAACGUUGGGUACUAG